GUAACAAAGUUUAUUUUGACCGACUAUUCCUAGCAUAAAUGGUAAAAAAUUUGAUGGUUGGUACUUAAGAUCCCAAGUUCGAAUCCUAAUUUAUUCACAUUUCCAGCUAAGUUUAUUUCUAAAUGAAAUAAACGAAGCAGGUAGCACGCUACCUAUCUCUCUGUCAAAAAAAAAAACCGUAAGAUCUAAAGUUUGUACAUGAUAACAUACCUCAAGAAACCAUAUUUCUGCUUUGGCUUGCCGGUGCCGAAGUGAUCAUUCAGUUUUUUCGCUAAAGCUAAAGCUCGAGCCUUUCACAUUGUCCAAAUCUGGAGAGACUAGUUAAGGGAACCGCUUGAUGCGGAGUGAAGAUAUUAUUACAGUUAAUUGUUAUAGUAUAUAAAUUAAUAUUUUUGACUGAGUUUAGCACUUAAAAAUUAUGAUGACAGAUUAUUACACUGUACCUAAGAUGGGUCUCUAUAUAUUUAAACAUGCAAUAAAAUUUUACAUUAAUUAACACUUUGUUACGGGUUUUUUAUUUUUAUAACCAUUUUGAUAAAUAGAAUAAUACAAAAAAUAGCACAUCAAAUUAUGAUGAUAGAUUAACUCUCAAAAAAAAAAAAAUUAUGAUGAUAGAUUAUUACACAAUAGCUAAGAGGGAUCACUAUAUAUUACAAUAUUCAAUAAAAUUUUACGUCCAACUUGUUUUCUUCCUACCGACCGUCCCAAGUGCAAGUGGCAAAAAAAUAUGGUGGUUCGUAUUCAAGACCCAAGUUUCAAUCCUAAUUGAUUCAUAUUUCUAGCUAAGUUUAUUUCUGAAUGAAAUAAACGAAGCGGAUAUCAUACUACAUUUCUCUCAAAAAAAAAAAAAAAAACUUGUUUUCUUUCUAACUCUAUUUUUUGUUUUUUACAUCCAAAUUGGAUACAGACAUAUAUAUAUAUAUGUGUGUGUGUGUGUGUGUGUGUUUUUAAAAGGACUAUAUAUGAAAAAUUAUAAAUUUAUACACUUAUUUAUUUUCAAAAAUUAUUUUCUUUGAUAUCAUUAAUUAUAAAAUAUUGGAAGCCUAACUGAUAAUUUUUUUAACAGAAUAUUCUUAUGCAUAUCUUUCUUUUAAAUAUAAUAGAUUACAUUUAUCAAAAUAGAUUUUAAUUUUAUAAGAAUAAAAAUUUAUGGAGCCUUAAAAUUCCGACAAAAGUCAAAUUUUUCUAUGAUUAACCUUAAAAGAGAUUACCUACUAUGGACAAUCUGCUUAAAAGAGUUGGUUAGGAAAUAGCAGAUGUAUCUUGUGUGCUGAUUAUCUGGAGACAACUGAUCAUUUGUUGGUGGAUGUGUCGUUCGCAAGUUCAUUUUUUCUCGCUCCUCAAAGACUCUCACGCCCUCCUUUCCUCUGAGGACGUCAAUACCGCCUGGGAGGGUUGUCAGGAAAGGGUCACUAGUUGACAUUAUGAAGGUUAGAUAGUUGUGGCGACCACAUGGUGGAUGAUCUGAUGGAAAGAAAUAAUGUUAUCUUUCGAAAUCUACCUAUGAACGCGAUCUCUACAACGCAUCGUGUGAGAGUUCUGGUGAAAGAUUGGGCCUUGUUGCGUACAACUGGGUGAUGUCGGUGUUUGUCGGCACCCUUCGUUUUUUACGCUUUUUAAGUCUAUAGCACUCUCUUCUUUUUUCAUUUUCUGCUUCUUAGUUGCCUCGAGGCUCCGAGGCUUGCUGUCUCACUCUUGUAGCUAAAUUUAAUUACUUAAUGAAUGAACGGGUAGCAAUGCUGCCUUUCUCUCAAAAAAAAAAAAAAAAAAAAAUUAUGGAGCCCUCAACUGUAGGUCAUUUUGAAAAAACUUCAGUAUUUGUAGAGUUAAUUUAUUCUAAUAACUUUAUUCAAAAUUCAAUCAAACCUAAUGGUUUUGAUAGCAAUUCUAUAAAUAAAUAUUUUGACUAAAAAGUUAAAGUUGGAUGGUUAAUUUCAAAUUGCCAAACAAGUGGGGAUGUUUUUAUCUUAUUAAAAUUAAUAGGAAACACAUGCACCUUGUAUAUAUUAACACUCCUAAGUGGCAACUUAUAUUAGAUGACUAAUACUACGAUAUCAAAACUUAAUUUAGCAUAUCCAACAUACAAACUCUAAUAGUUUGAAUUAUGUUCAAUGAAUUAGAUUUUAAACUCAUUAUUAAAGAAUUUUAAGUAUGUAGUAUAUGUACAGAUAUACAUUCGAUGCAAAGAAUGCUUAAUAGGAUGCACUCAUAAUUUCAUAAUUUCAAGAGAGAGAAGAAAUAUUUGCUCACCCUAGUCUAUACUAAUACUCUACACACUACACAGUAUAUUAAAUGAUUAAUGAAAUAUUUGAUGAUUUGUACUAUAAAAUAAAAUAUUUAAUAUAUAUAUAUAUAUAUAUAUAUAUAUAUAUAUAUAAGUAUUUAAUAAUCUAUUUCAUUACAAAAUUUUAUCUUUGAUGUAUAUUUUAGAGUCAGUUUAUGGUGCAGUGAACGGGUCCAACAUUUUUUUGGACACGUUGCAAGCUUCUGUUCGUUCAUGCACUCGGCUCACUCAGGAUCCUUUUUUUUGUGGACAUGUUGCCAAUUCAUGUAUUCUUAUAGAUUAUAGAUAUACAAACCGCAGAAGUUUUAUAGUCUAUUGAAUUUGAUAUAAAUAUGAACUAGGAUGAUUUCUGAUAAAAGAGGUAUUACAAAACAUCAACAUGAUCCAUCAAACUAGCAACAAAAAAAAAAAAAGAAUAAAUCUUUUCUGUAUUAAGUCUAAAAAGAAACAUAUUUACAAGAGUCAGGUUCUUUUCGCAAUUUUGUAACUGAGCUCAAGAAUUUCACAACUUAGAUAUUACAGUGCCCAUAAAUAACUUUUCCUUGCGCUGACACUACCUCUUUCUUAAACUUUACACACUAAACUAACAAAAAAGUAUUACGUAGGCCUCAAUCACAAAUUAAAGCACUCAAUUAAAUGGUAAUAUACAUGAAGUAAAAGAAAAGAUCACUACGCUUCAGCUAUCACAAUUUCAUUCGAAGAGGCCGACGUAGUUGAAUGUGAGCCAUCUAACCCCUCUCGAGAGAGAGAAUACGCGAGAAGCAGUUUCACUACAUGCCUGAAUCUCCUUCUGUAUGUCGGGAACUUCGAUAUGCUCCUUUGUAUGCCGACUAACCUGUCAAUAAAUUUAUGGCCAGUGCUUCAGCUACAUAAAUGAAUCAAAUCAGUAUCACAGCAAUUGAGUCUUGAAUGGAUUUUCUACUCGGAAGCAGAAGCUACGUAAUUAUUAAACAAAAAAGUUUAGAGCUCUUGUUGUUGCAGAAAACCAAAAUGAGCUUUUGGGUCUCAAAAGCAGAAGCUUAAAUUUGGAAGUUAUUAGAAGGUUUCUAUCUGACACUACUCAAAUACGGAUUCACAAUAAAAACAGAAGAUGAAAAUUCCAAGUCUGCAAUUGUUAAAAGGUAUAGCAAAUAACAGAAAAUGGAAGAGGGAGAAGAUUAGUGCACACUGUUUGCAACUUCUAGUUCUUCAGUUGGAUGAGAGCAUUUCUUUGAAUAAGAGUUGGAUGAAAACUUAUGCAAAAUGCAGUGAGUAAACUAUUCAAGAAUACACGGAGUAUUCGUUCAUGGUAAUUUAAGAAAGUGCAACUGAGAAGAAGCAUGCUUACUGGUAAUAAAUAAUACAAAAUUAAAUAUUUAUAUAUAUCAGUUGUAAUUAAUCAUAAUUAUAUGUACGACCUUAAGUCAGCGACAUCACCAUACCUUCUGCUAAUGGCCUGAAUCUGAGCAAGCCUGAGAGCAUCUUGAGGGAUAACCGGAAUACUACUCGAUGCACUAGCACUUUGACUAUUACCAAUAUAGAGAACUAGUUUUUCCAAUAAACUCACUUCCUCCUCCCUCAGUUUCAAGACCUGGAUUUGAUCCUUCAAAACCAUGAUAGGGUGAAAGAACCAAUCGACGACCCGAUCCUGCGGGCGAUUGAGAUGGUUGACCUCAAUACCGCCACUUAGCAAUAGUCCGCUCGAACCGCACUUGAUAGAGUAGAGGAGAGAUUGGAGGAAAGCAUAAGAAGGUAGCCCGAGGCCCACAAAUUCUUGGCUAUUUCCCUUUGUUCCCAACCACUCAAUUAGAUUAACCGACGUUAUAGAGUUUGAAUCAAUGAGUUCUCUUCCCCUCAUUUCGCAUGAUUUCAUCAUAUUCUCCCAUAUCUGCAAAAGAAAAAGGAAGGAAACUAUAUUUUCAAGGUGCGACAUCUCAAGCAUACAACAAAUGAACAUAACAUGUUAUAUCUCAUAUUUAUCAAAGAUUGGCAAAUGAUUUUUGAUAUCUCUCAGUAUUUGUAGUUCGCAUUGGAAGUUUUGAUUGAACAUAAACAAAAUUGGUCAUGGAAGAUCUUCUGGAACAGUUCAUGUAUCAGUAGAUUGUUCAUAUUUACACCUCUGAUAUAAGGAUAUGUAAGUAGUAAUAUCCUAGAUUGUAACUUUAUUAUAAGCAUUGCUAACAUCAAAAAUAUAAAGUGACGAGUUAAUUUGUAAACCAAAAGCCAUAAACUAACAUCCUCCCAAUGGAAAUCAUUUGUUUGAAGACGAAAAUAAGAAACAAGAACUAAAGAUUCAUAUAGUAGCAUCUCAAAAAUGAAAUACCAACCUGUACCAUUUUCACUUCUUGUAUUGCCUCUCUAACCGAUCUUGAAGGGGCCAGCUUCGGCACCAACAAACCAGGAGCUCCAGACGAACCAGAAGUGGAGGCCUCUCCUUUAGCAACAGUGGGUCCUACAGAAAACUCUUCUGAGCGAGAUUGUUUCCUCUUUCUGUAUCGGGGCCUGGCUUGGAAAUGAAAAGCUAUUAUUGAUCACAGAUGACAUUAGAAGUCGAAAAGAUGCUAUUAAAAAGAUUGAACUAAUAUCACUAGAUGAAAGACUCGGCAGCAUUUUGUAGAAACAAGAACAAUUACUUUGGAAGGAUAGACCCUUCUCUCAGAUAGAGCCAAUCGUUAGUGUACUCAUCAAACUCCGAAACCAUGGCAACUACAAAAGCGACUCCCCUUCGGAAAGACCUCUCCUGCAUUAAGAACCCAUGUACGUUUGAAUGAAAUUUACUGUUAACGAUGUUUACAUAUAUACAACUGCAAAGUUAUCAAUUUACAUAAAUAAACUUUCAAACGAGGCCUACGAAACUUUCCUCUUAAGUAUACACCUCUACCUAAGAAAGUACCUCUGCAAAGAGCUUUUCUAAUAAAGCCAAAUACAGCAUAUGAAUUGCAUGACUUUCCAACUAAAAAUAAUGAUACUUUUGUAAGAAAUUACACUUUCAAUGGUAAAAUGCAUUUAAUACAUGACUUCGCAGGGAGAUGUAUGUGGUGCAUUUGUGUGUUAAAGCCACUAAAGGUAAAUCAGUACUACUCGCAAGAAUAAACAAAUAAAAAAAUGAUAAGAAUAGGUAAUUACCUGAUACACAACAACUGAGCUAUAGAGUCCAAUGAAAAUGCUUGAGACAAUAGCCAAGAGAACACUUCCAACGACAAUGAGAGGCCACAGAAGAAUAGCGAGACCAGCGAUUGGCACACAAACUGUUUCAAGAAAUGGCCCUUCUCUACUUAUCAAGUCAUGAAGCAACCUCUGCCACCCCUUGAAAAGCAUAUAAGGGCUCUUUAUUAAAGCUAUGAUGGUGUAAAGCGGCACGUCCACUGUUAAGCCCAGCAGAGCAACAAGAAUACAAGCAGGCACAUACAGCAACCUGCACAAAGUUUGUUUGAUCAACUACAGUUAAAAAAAAAAUGAGUGUUUGAUACAAAAAUACAUAAAUAGUCGGGACAAGCUACUUGAUAAUUGUUGCUGUUUUUUAAAGAAAAGAGAGUUCAUUUUAGGAUGGUCGUUCUACCAGCCAAAUGCCAAAGAGGUGGUACUUACUUUGUUGAUAGCACAAUAUAUGGCAUCGUGUCGCAUAGGAAACAAAACACAAAAUCCCUCACAUUUCUCCAAAUUAACAAAGACGUAGACUUAACAAUAACAAAAUCCCUUGUCAUGAUGGACAUAAUAGCAAAUCUUUCCUACGGAUAGGGGAAAAUAAAAGCUACCUGAUUGAGUAGGGCUGAAGAUUAGCAGGGCUCUCGCGAAAUUCUUUCAGGUAGAGCGGGUAGGAGUGGUAGCACAUAUCUGCAAAGUCCCUAACCACCGUGCAACUCCCUCGGAUUGUGCCCCAAGUUCCAUCCUGGGCAUGAACCACACAUAAUGCAAUAUGAAUCACAUUACCUGCAAAUUCUUUCAGGUAGAUUAAUUAUAGAUUAAAUUCUUUACCACAACAGAGUGGAGGAACUUCUUGGUUUCACUAUCCUCUCGAAAGGCCUCAAAAGUGGAGACCCACGGCGUAAAGAAGCCGUAACCGAGCCCGACUAAGACACUUCCAGAAAUGCUGAGAGCUAGCCAUAAUCCAAACAAUGUUGGCAGAGCUAAAAGUAGAGCGAAUUUGAGAGCUGCAUUGACACGGUUGGUCCUGUAAUAGAAAAGGCAAUGUGCCUAAAAUUAACUGUUCCAACAUAAAUGCAUAAAAAAGUUCCAAUCAUAGAAGGAAAGUAUUGGACUCUCUUUCACAAUCUACUCUCCAUUCUUUGAAACAAAAGGGUCUUUAAGCAUAAUGGUAAGUAUUACAGUUUGUAUAUAUGCUGAAAACAUCCUAGAUAUGCAACAGAACUGUAAUUUAACAACUUAAAAAGAAUUCAAAGAAGUAAAUAAGAAAACAAUCAAAGUAGAUAACACUUGUUAUGAUGCCAGAAAAAGACCAUAUAUUAAUUUACACUGCUUUCAAUAAAACAACUAUCUUUGACGAAAUUGUGUCUUGGUAUCCUAAAAGGAAGUUUGAGUUUUCUUCGAUAAGAAGUUAUAGUUGUCUUACUCUCAUCGACACUACUAACACUGGUAAAAUUCUCAGCAAACUCCCAUAAAAACAAAGUAAAACAGCAUGUUACAAUACGGGUGGCAAUCCUGAACAUGAUACAAUCACACGAACCUAACACAAUCUAACAUAAACAAUAUUACUGAAAUAAGCUUAUAGCCGACAUGGCAUGAACCCGUCUAUUCCGAAAAUUGACACAACAGAAUACAAACGCCACGAGUAAGAAACAAGUUGACUUUUUGAGCACUUAAUGUUCUAUUACAAAAUUAGUAUGAUCUUACAAUUGACAUUACUACCACGAUUGUUGGAUACGAACAAGACGCACUAACCUCAAAUGUCACCCCUGGUUCAAAAUCUAACUUCCACAAGAACCUACCAAUCAAUUAUCAUUUUAUACCAUUACAAACUAUAACAAUUGAUUUUUUUGCCCCAAAAAACAGUAGAAAUUGAGAGAACACAAAGGCAAUGAGAUGUCUCACUUAAUGAUAGAGUAAACGGUCCACCCAACAUGAGCAGGGAAGAGGCCAAGUAUCACCCCGAAAUUUCCAAUUAUAAGAAGCGCCGCCGCAAUAGGACCCACCAAAAAUGCUGCAACCCAAGAAACAAAAAGACCAAACAUAAUAAAUCCUUUCAUCAGAAAGGAGCAAACUUUAUUGUUGAUCAACAUAAACCCAACAAUGAUAAUUUGAAAAAAAAAAAAAAAGGAAAAGGAAAAAAUGUAUGUACCUUACCUGAACUACAGCUAUUUUGUGCCUCUAAAAAUUUUAAUUUUACUAUCCAACAAUGCAUUUACUUUGACUACGCUUGUUUUAAUUGAAAUAUAGCCAUGUGAAUUAUAUAAGAUACUGUAAUCAAGCACAAUAAACUAAAUGGCGCCUUCAAAUUCUGAAGUGGACAAACCAUCAAAAUGAAUCUCAAAGUUAGGUAGUAAAAUCAUGGCUAAAUUGCUUGUUUGGUUUCUCAAACUAUGAGAUGCGUGACAUUUGUUGCUCAAACUUUAAUUUAUUGUAACUUCUGACUCGAACUUUUUAAAUUGUCGUUACUGUGGAAGUAAUAUAGCAGUACUAUGACUAAUGAUAUGACAAUAAUUAAAAUAUCACAUUAUUUUCACAUUAUGGAUGCGUCAACAUUUAGUCAAUUAAAUUAGGUCAUCGGACUUAGAUUGCAACGAUUUACAAAAUUCGAGCUAAAGCUAUAACAAAUUAUAGUUUGAGGACCAAAAUGUCAACCAACCGUGCAAUUUAGCCUAAAAUCAAACAUUUUGAAGGAUGGAUACUCACACCACAAUGGGCAAUAGUUCAUAUAAGUUUUAUACAU
rnacentral:lncRNA from 1 species